AUCUUUGGAUCCCUGUCUACCUGAGGCCUUCUGAGGGUAAGAUCUCCAUAAAGAGAGCAUCACACAGCAAGGCAGUGGAGAAGUCUGCUCCAAAAUCAAGAGGUGCCUAUUGAACAGCAGCUUCUGAGAAGCCCUGGAGAUCCAUUGACCUUAGUCUGGGUGCCAGUGUGUCAUCCGCAGCCCAAGGAAACUGCAGAAGAUGAGGAAGAAGGAUGGGACAGCCUUUUGGGGAUGGGGCUCCUGCUCUUCAGUCAGGGCCCUGCAGCUGCUGGGAAGCACUCAGCUGCUCUCCUCCUGCUUCAUCACAGCAACGGGAUUCCAGCAGAAGGGGAUAAAUGAAGACAAGUGGCUGACUCAGGCAUUCUGAAAUUAGCACCGAAGCUUUCUGUUGUAGCCCAUCAUUACUCUGUGGACUUGGGAAGCAAGUAAAAAAAAAAAAAAAUUGAAGUAUUAACUGAAGAUGCCAUUGUAACAAAGUGUUCUGUUAUAAGGGCUAAAAAACAGCUUAUUUUUAUUGGCCCUUGCAUGUUUUUAUUUUGCUACUCAUUUCUUGUUAUACAAGGCAUAGCUCUCCAGAGAGGGAGAAAAUAGACAUAUGGAGAACCUACCGACCUGUAUCUGCUGUUUAGACUUUGUACACGUGUUACUCUGCUACAUGGAUUUGUUAUACAGUAAUAAAUAAUAUAAUAAUAUCUUAGAUUUAUAUAGCACCUUCUUAUUCCCAAAGAUUCCAAAGCACUUUGGAAACAGCAGGACUUAAUUGUCUUCUCGCUUUGCUUUUAUGCACUCUUGACUUCAGGGGAAUUACUCCUGAUUUACACUAAAAAUAUACAGGAAUUGGUUAUCUUCCCUCUGGAGCAUGGCUAAGAGGAAUCAUAGCAAUUAUGAAAGAUCACUUAGAAGCAUCAUAAGCCAUUUAGGACAAAGAAUGAGAGCAAAAUUAUUUGGCUUAGCAGAACAAAGUGCAAUAGGAAAGCAGAAUGCAAUAAGGCACAACUGGAACUUGGUUCAGAGCCCAUGGCUCAGAACCAUUUUGUUCCAAGUUGGUCACUUUGAACAUGAGAUCUCCUAGAGUCUUAAGUGGCCAGCUUUGGGGUGAUAUGGGAGAGAGAUCACUUUGGACACAAUACUGGAAUAUCAGUGUGGUGCUUUCAUUUGCUCCCAGUUGUCCUCUUGCCCUCGUGGGGGCUUCGCUGCCCACCUUGUGGGGGUGAUGCAUAGCUGAGGUUUGAGAUGCAUAAAGUUCACUUCUAGAAAAAGUAAGUCCCUGUGAAGCAGUCUUUGGAAACAAUACUGCAGUUUUUUGUUCAUCUAUAAAGCGUGUGUGAUAUACAGUGCGUAGCAGGGAGAUUGGUGUCCUAUAAAGAACGGCGGUAUGUAUUGCAGCACAGAGAGCAGUGUCCUCAGCUGGCAACUGAACAUUUUUUUUUAUUCAGAACACACACAAAAAAAAAAAUAAAGCAGAUUUCCAUUUUUGCAAAAGCUGAUGCUUUAAAAAUCUGUGCCAAACUAUUCAAUUGAUGCAGAAUUAUUCAUUAGAAAAGAAAUCAGAAUAUUCUGAUGUUCUAAAAUGCUUUACUGUUUUGAACUUUCCCUCAAAGUGAUU
ensembl:lncRNA